GAAAUUUGUUGUAAUGUUGGCAACAGACAAAAAUUAUUCGUUAAAAAAGGCAGGCAAUUUGUUUUUAAAAUAGCAACUGCUGUCCAGCAGUAAAGAAAAUUUGGAUUGACAAAUGCCAUUAUUGAAGUUUGAGGUUAUGUGGUUUACGUUAGCGUGGCGGUUCAUAUUAAAUUCAUGGACCAUACUUUUAUGAUUAUCAGAAAAUGUGGAGCGUUUUUUAUUAAAGUGUAGGUAAGAAAUAACUGUAUGUUGUACUUCAUCUACAUAAUAACGGUUAAUUAAUCAAGUUAUAACGUUGAGGACAAAUGUAGAUCAAACUUCUAGGUUAAUCAUUAUUAGAUGGUUGGGUAAGAAAAGAUAAUAAAGCUUUUAUAUUAUUUAAUAUGAAUUUAGCCGAACCAGAAGUCAACAAGGAUGUCAUUGCUAAUUUAAGAUGUUUUAAGCAUGACCAUCAUUGUAAAGUUUGUCGAACGAACAAACUUUACAAUGAUGGACAUUUCUUGGAAGAUUGACUCAUACUUUACAAGAUGGCGAAUGAAAACUUCACAACAGAAAACCUGAACAUUGAGAAGAUUCGCUAACUGAGGAACACACUCUUGAACACAUUCUCCAGUCAACUUUAGUUUUGAACAACUCUUUUUGCAUUCAUACCAUUGAGAAUGGACACAAAAAGUAUGGUGUGAAUGCAAAAAGUGUCAAUUCAAAACUAAAUAGUUCAUCAUUAGAUAAACAGAGACUCAUUGAUAAGCAAGAUUUUUAAUAAUAGGAACUGUAUUUUUGUUUAAGCUGGUUAUAGUCUACAAGUGCUAAUGUUAGAUCAGAGUUAUUAGUUUAAGUUAUAAGAAUUGUACAAGUGUUUCCCAGUUUUUGUAGUUCCCAAUGUGUUAGUAACAAAUUAAAUAUAUUUUCAUUUGA